UUUUCGAAUUUAUGUUGACAACAGACACUUUGCGUGUGUUUUUAAGAGGCAAGGAAAGUGAUGUUCCGUUUAUUUUUGUAGUUGAAACAUUUAAUAUAAUUUUAGUGUCGUAUGAUGUUAGUCUGAGGGUACCACAGACGUAUUAAUCUAUGGGAAGAAGAAAAAUUAUUAUGUCUAGGCAAAAUGUCGAAUGUUUUAUGGUGGUGAUUCAGGGUCUGACGUGACGUUUGUGUAGAAAUUAAUCUACCUGAUGCGGUAAUUUAUUAAAAUCAAUAAUACAGAAUGUCCCACUUACCAGAGAGACGUUAUAAAAGCAAAAAUUCCGGUAGAGGAAGACGAAAUUCAAAUGCACUGUCAGGUUCUUCUAGCAGUUAUGAGAAAGAGUCUUCGGAGAACGAUGGCCCUGUCACUGUAUCAAUCCAUUCUGGACAUAGAUCAAGUGACAAAGGAACAAUAACUGAUACAAAAGGUGAAACGACAGGAAGUAAAUUCAGCAGUUAUUUCCCUGUUACUAGUGGAGAGCCAGUGAAAGAGGUUCUAGGGUCACAAGAUACGCAAGAAGUUUUUUUGACGAGUUCAGAUGGUGGCGUCGGUAGAGUACCGUCACCGUCGUCAGCAUCGAGCGUUGCUUCUGCUCGACGCCUAGAAUGGGAUAGCGGCGCUGAUGUUGGGUACAACAUACAUUAUACAGAUGAUACCAGGAAUGAUGAGAAGCGCCUGAGCACAAUUGAAAGGCUGGCCCUUGCACAAGGCCAUUUAGCAGUGUUUCCAGAGAGGUCUGAGCCAGAAGGGAAAUCUGGACCCACUGCAGUAAUAAAUACCACAACACCAGGGACAAGUGUUAAAUCUACUGCAUCAAGAACUGCUGCUGCACACUCUACACCAAUUGACACAUCACAGAUUAGAAGUGCUACUCUGUGUACAACUAAAAGUGAAAAUGAUAUUACACCAAUUAUGCGACUUAAUAAUAAAGUGCUUCUGCAGAAUGUAAACCAAAGCUGUAGUCCUUCUGAUGCAUCAAUUGGAGAAAACAAAAGUGAAGGAAGGAAAACGGAAAUGUCAGAAGUCAAGGAGACAGUACAAACAACCCCAGAAAAGGAGGACAAUAGACGUGCUGAGAACUGUAAUCUGGAAAGGACAGGAAGCUGCUCAUUGGUAGAUUUAAGACCAAAUCAGUUGUCAGAUGAAAAAGUAAGUCCUAACCUCCAUAGAAGCCAGAGUGACCUAAAUCUCUUGCUGAAACCUUCAGAUUGCAAUACACAGAAACCAGAGGUACAACUUGGAAUUCAUAAUCCUCAUGCCAACAAUCUAGCUAUGGCUGCAGUCCACUCAGCUUCAUCAUCUUCUAUAGCAACAGUUGUGAAUAACAGACCACCACAAAGAAAACCUGGCAGUUUAAAAAAUCUAGGAAAAGUAUCAGUGUUCGUUCAGACAGAUCACAAUGCAUCUCACAGUGGUAGCUCGUCUCAGGUUAGUGAUACCCCUGUAAGCAGUAGGAGUUGUAAAGAAAGAGUAAUGGCCUCCAACAAUGUUGACAGAGUCUUGAUUGGUGCAGAAAGUAUUGAAUUUGUGAAAGGAAGGAAGUAUGUUGCUGACAAGACUGUUAACGAUUUUGGAAUACAAACUGAGGUAUCUAGCAGCAGUGUUCAAGUGCAAAAGGAGGGGAGAAAGUAUGAAGAUGAUAAAUGCAGUCACUGUCCAGGUAGAACUUGCAAAGGAGCUCACAAGAAAGUUCGUGGAGAACGGAGGCCGGAUACAGACACUCUUGUAAAAGAACGAGACAGAAAUCCAUGCCUCGGUGAUGUAAUUCAAACUAUACAGUCACAAACUUCAAGGUGUGCCACAAAUGGAUCAGAACAAUCACAUGAAACAACAGUGAAUGCUUCUAAUAUCAAUCAAGCAAUUUCUUCGGGAAUGACAGUUGAGGUGAGUGGAGCAAUUGACAGUGCCAACAGCUUUGAAUAUGUGCCAGGAGAAAUUUAUCAAAGGCAUAUAAACAACAGAGCUGAUACUGUCAAAAAUUUUAGCCCAGGAGAGGAGAGACCACAUUCUGCUCCAUCUGACGUGACAUCAGCAUGUACAAAAUCUGAUGUCACUGAUAGUGGUGAAGUACAGGCAUCUGGUGCUAGUACACUAGCUCGUGAUUUGGAAAAGAGUGUACAGAUGUUGCAAAAACUGGUGGAAAAUCACAAAUCAGAUGCUGCACUGCGGAAGAAGCUAGUACGAUCCGUUGUAGACAAGCUUGUUAGCAGCAAUUAUGAUGAUGAUCAAGAUGAUGAUCGUGAGAGACCAAGUAAGCAGGAGGUGUUGAGACAGAAAAGUGAUACGAUUUACAUGGGAAAUGUGCAGGAACAAUUCCAGAGGUCAUCUCGAAGUGUGGGUGUUGGUUGCUCGAGCAAGUCCUUGUCAUCAUCAAAUCAGUCAACACAGUCACAGACACCUAGUACAAGUAGAUGCGUUGGGCAAGGACGUUCCUCUCUGAAGAAAGUGCACCCAAUGGUGUCCCUCUCCACCACAAGUGGCAGUGUGUCGUUACCUGUUCCUGCGGAUAGUUGCACUGAUGCAACACCUGGUGAUGAGUAUUACAGUUCCUCUCUUACAAAUUCUUCAGCGAGUAACAGGAACCGGAUGCACUGGAGACAGAUGAAAACAGUAUCAGAACAAGAAUUUGACAAGCAGCAUUCAAAGUCCGAUGAAUCUGCUUUGAAAUCACAGCUACUCAAAUUUUGUGAAACAGAACGAGGGAAUCAACUGUCAUGGAUUCAGUUUGAAAUCGAACAUCUCUCUAAUUUGAAACAGUUUUUAAUGGGCCAGAAGAGUUUAACAAGAAGUCUGGAAAGUCUGUAUGAAAAUAGGCAGAAAUUACCAACAAGGCAGUUUACCAAAUGUGCUUCUGCUACCCAAACAUCAUUCAGGCCUGGUGAUCAUGAAGCUCCUUCUCGCAGUUCAUCACAAGACAUAACUGGCGCUGAAAAUGCAGACAAACCAAAAUGUUAUGUACAUAGUAAAAAUGUACCAAACAAAAUAGCUCGGGAGAAGCUGAAUGGAGGUGGUUUCUCUAAACCAGUGUCAGUAAAUCAAGAUGUAAGAACUUAUUCCGAACAGAGAGGUGCAGGUAUUUUAGCAGAGAAGAAGCACAUGCGUACAAAGCAUGUGGAUCUAGUAAUUGAUAUGAAGUUGAAAUCUGGAGAUAGAACACUGGUUUCAAGAACAGAGAAACUUGAGUUACCAGGUUCUUGUAGUGGUGAUUAUGUUUCUCUGGAAACUCCUCCUCAGAAAACUCCAGUUACAGAUGAAAGUGGAAGUGUGGAAAGAGGAAGAAUAAAUGUGUUUGUUCAAACACAGAAACAGGCAAAAACAGCAAACCAAAUGCACGAUCUUUCCUCAGAUUUUAAGAAUUUAAACCAUAAAGAAAAUAUACAGUUUGUGGAGAGCAAUAGGCAACAAAACAGAGUUGAGAGAGCUCCAAUGUGCUGCUGUGAAUGCAAAAGGGAGUUGGAUCUUAUAGCAAAAGCUGUGAAAUCAGCAAAGGAAAACCAUUUUUCAAAACACAAAACGGCAGCAGAGUCAGGUACUUCAAAGAAGGAGUGUACACAGUGUGAGAAUUCAUAUAGAAAUUACAAAGUGGAGAAAGGAAGAGUUAUCAAUAAAGAAGGCAGUAGUCUGAGUACUGUUGGCUCUUCAUCACCAGUAAUUUCAGAUAACUCUUCUCACGCUGUUUUUUAUCAGGGUGUUGGGCAGUUGGGGAUGGUCUCAGGAGGCACUGAUACUGCUGAUAAUUUAUCUUUAGCUUCAGCCAAACCUGUUUUGUCUGCUUCAAGAAGUACUAAUGUGAGGAGAAAGCACUUAAAUAUGAACGGCAGUAAAAAGCCUAUGAAAAUAGACAAAGGAGAACAAGUAAAUGGGCACAGUUUGGGAGCUCCUGCUACAUCUGAUAUCUCUGUGCAGGUUACCUCUGAUAGUAUACUCAGUGGUUACAAAAAUUCUGCAGGAAACAGAAGUGGUGGUUCAGGUGAUCAUGUUGUGAAAUGUGAUAAUGAAACCAGUGAAAGUAAGCGAAUAAAGAAUGCUCACUGUGAUAGAGAGAAGAAACUGGAUGAUUGCCAAAUGCCAGUAGAAAUUACUGCUUUUGGACAGAAAAGGCAAACGUGCCCUUGUUGUAAAAAAAGUGUCUCAGAGGAAAGUGUGUAUGCAUUAUCACAACAGUUCCUUGUGAAUGCUAGUCAACAAAAAGCAUGCCCUUGCUGCUAUGUCCUACAGAAAUAUUCCCAAAAAUCUGAAAGGGAAAUAGAAUCUCAAGAAACAGUUCAUUUAGUUUCUGAAGAUGUGCAUUCAAACAAUUCAAAUCAGAAUAAUUCUGACAAAACAGAUGAAAUAAACAAUAACACACAGAAAGAAAAUGAAGACCAUUUUGACAUUAAUGCAGUUUCAAACUCUCCAGAUGGAGACUGUAAGCCACUUGCUUACAUUUUGGCGUUUGAACCUGCAACUCCAAAUGCUGCAAAAAGAGAAGAAGAAAUGAGAAGAAAGUCAUUGGAGGUAAUAAAAGUUAAAGUUCCUUCGCUGCGACCACCCAAGAAAGGAGAAAUUACAACUACAGGAAACCAUUGGGGCAAUAUCCAGAAAGGAAAAGAAGGUAGCAAUCCAAUUAAUGAUGAAAAAUUAGGUCAUGCUGCUAGAUUUAGGGAUAGGGGAACAACAGAGCAGAAAAUCUAUAAGACAACAAUUCAGGAGUUACUACGGUCUCGCCGUCCUGAUUAUGUGCAGAAUGCAGAAGAGAGGCGACACUGUGUUGCAGAGAUGACACGCCUUCGUGAGCAGCGGUUGCAAGAGUGUCGUAAUUUGCUAGCUGCAGGCUUAGCCCCUCCACCACCACCACCUCCAUCAUCUGUGGCAUCAGAGGUUCUUGUUAAUCGACGUCGAGUGUUCACCCAGAAACAGAUGAAAAGUUUGACGAAGCGACACUAUCGUCUUUUACCAGAGACACAAAACAAAAAUUCAGAACGAAAGCGUAAGCAAGAUUUCCGCACCAAUAGACUUAUGGCUGAAAUAUUUGCCAGGAAACUUCAGAGGAGGGUCUUGAAAGGAGAAGUGAAUUUAUCAAACAGUGUCACUGUUAUAUCAAGCUCAGCCUGAAAUUUUGCAUCUCCUUUCAGGGACAGUAAAAUAUGAAGAAUAUUCAGCACUUCAGUAGUGACUGAGUAGCAUUGUCAUGUGUCAGUAGCAGACCAACAUACAGAAUGGUACAGGCUGCCAAUUGGUAUGGAGCACAUUGAGCAAGUGAGACUGGGCAAACAAAAAUUUCUGAUAUGGACAUACCUACCAACUUGUAUGUUAACUGUCAUUCUGGGCUUCCAACGUGGAAACAAAUUAAUGCUCAGCUAAGCUGUGUUCUGCUAUAAAGAAGGCUAUUUGUUUAUGUUAGCUGGAAGGACGUCAACAAAAAUGUUUUGUACAGCCAUAUUCAUUUGUUAUAUCAUCACUCAUGAUGACUUAUGUUAUUACAUGACUCUACAAUAUUUUGUAUGACUUUAUGGAUUAAAGAUCAUGUUAC